GUUAUAUACAAGUCUCACAAACUUUCCUGCCUGGCUGGCUUGGAACUGUGAUCCUCUGAUCUCAGCCUCCUUAGGAUUACAGGUGUGAGCCACCAGUGACCAGCUGGGGCCAAACAACUUUUGCUGUUUCACUUGCAAACGUCUCAAAUCUAGCUGAUUCACUGCCUCCAUGAAAUUCUUGUCUCAGACCCCGAAUUUUGUAGGCAGAGAUCUUCCCUUAAACUUUUGGUUGACUCUAUCACUUUACAGGCAGAGUGUUCUGGCUGCCACAUUGUGGAGAU